rnacentral:antisense_RNA from 1 species
GAGCGUGCGGCUUCUACUGCGGCUGCGCAAGCUCGACGCGCGCACUCUUGUCUGCUUACGAGGGCUCCUCCCUUCAGCUUUGGUCCCUCGGGGCGUCUGGGCAGCCUACGCUUUCCGACUGGAAUCAGCCAUUUUACCAAGAAAGUUGGGUUUCUUUUACUGGCAAAUAGUACUUCAAGAGCACAGUCUUAUGUAAGCAUGACCCAUCUGCCUGGCACCAGCACCUGGGGCUGCCAGGCAGCCACCCCUGCAGCUGUGUUGACAGGGCCUGGCAGAGGGACUGACCCACCUUUGGAAAAUGACACCAGCAAUAUCAGGAUGUGUCAACUGGAUUUAUGUUAAGAAAAUAGGAUUUUUGGUGUUCCUCUGUUUCCCAAAGUUUGAGACACUUUCAGACACUCUGCUUUGCGGUUGUGGCCGAUGUUACCCAUGGGUGGGACUUUUGCUUUGCUCUAGAUUUUUGUAACACCCUGGGGAGUUUCAGGGGCCAAUGCUGAGAGAAGACCACAGGCUGACACAUCAUGAGGUAUGUUGGUAAAACAGCCCCGGCUGGCCGAGAGGC